ACGCUGGCGGCGUGCCUAACACAUGCAAGUCGAACGAGAUCCAUGGAGUGCUUGCACUCCGGAAGAUCUAGUGGCGAACGGGUGAGUAACACGUGAGAAACCUGCCCCAGACUCUGGGAUAACCUCGGGAAACCGAAGCUAAUACCGGAUAUUCUCCUUUGGUCGCAUGGCCAGUUGAGGAAAGUUUUUCGGUCUGGGAGGGUCUCGCGGCCUAUCAGCUAGUUGGUGGGGUAACGGCCCACCAAGGCUACGACGGGUAGCUGGUUUGAGAGAACGAUCAGCCACACUGGAACUGAGACACGGUCCAGACUCCUACGGGAGGCAGCAGUGGGGAAUCUUGCGCAAUGGGCGAAAGCCUGACGCAGCAACGCCGCGUGCGGGAUGAAGGCCUUCGGGUUGUAAACCGCUUUCAGCAGGGACGAAAAUGACGGUACCUGCAGAAGAAGCCCCGGCUAACUACGUG
rnacentral:rRNA from 1 species